UCACCAUACUUUCUCUUGGCUGUAUGUGGUAACUUGAGGAGAUCUAGCACGGAACUCCAAUCAAAACUUCUCGUCAGCAACCUGGAGCGGAGUAUAAUGGCCAUUUGGGAUAUUUCCUGUGAAUGAAAGAAGCUGUCUUACAAGUAUUAAAGGACAAGGUCUGUCAAAAUUAUGUACAGUUUAGCAAGGUGUACACAUAGGCUACUAAAACAUUGUAGGCUUGUAUAAAACAAAGGUAUGGUUGAUUAUGUCAAAAAACUCUCAGACAAUUUAAUUUUGUAUUAAUCUCUCUUCUUCCAAAAUAACUGUAGUACUGUAUAAUAAUCAUACGGUACAGUAUAGGUGUAUGUAAAGUUUUGUUCGUGGUUUUAAAUCAGUGAUCCUUAACAUUCUGUCUGAAGAUCAUUUGUCAAAUUUUCUGAUACUAAUACUCUCAUAAUAAUGACAAAACAAAUUUAAUUGCAAUAUGAUUGACAUAUUAAUUUUUACUACUGUACAGUACUGUAUGUACUUUUCCUAAACGAUGAUAAUUAUGUAUAGUGUAUGUAAUAAUAAAGAAAUACAUUUAA